UUAAAAAUACAGCUUCAAGUUUUCAAGAUGAAGAAGAAAUUCGGAACAUCAAAUUCAAUUUUCUAAAAUUCAAAACGCAGAAAUUCAGAUCGUACAGAAAGUAGGUCAGAGGUCAUUCACAGGGAAGAGUAGAUGAUCUCCGAAAAGUGGAACAAAGCAUUUUGGCCAAUUAGAGCUGCAGUAGUUUUCUGGCGCGAGCGUGCGGCUCAGAAGGUCGCCAUUCUUCUGCCUGAUCAUGAAUCGCCCAGAGCCUCCAUAGGCAGCACACUGUUCAGCAGAGGGCCACCAUCCAAACUGAGAUGACCAGAUAAUUUCCUGGGUUUUUCAGCAAAGGACGGGGUAAAAGGCGAAUGCUGUCAGUGCCCCCUAGCAAACCCGCAAAAAUAUUGCCUGUUAACUUUUAUUUGCUUCCUCACCAAUAUGAGCGAACACCUAUGGAGAGUGAG